GUUCCCGGGCCUUGUACACACCGCCCGUCACACCACGAAAGUCGGAAGUGCCCAAAGCCGGUGGGGUAACCUUCGGGAGCCAGCCGUCUAAGGUAAAGUCGAUGAUUGGGGUGAAGUCGUAACAAGGUAGCCGUAUCGGAAGGUGCGGCUGGAUCACCUCCUUUCUAGGGAGA
rnacentral:rRNA from 1 species